rnacentral:rRNA from 1 species
GGCCGGGAACUCAAAGGAGACUGCCAGUGAUAAACUGGAGGAAGGUGGGGAUGACGUCAAGUCAUCAUGGCCCUUACGACCAGGGCUACACACGUGCUACAAUGGCAUAUACAAAGAGAAGCGACCUCGCGAGAGCAAGCGGACCUCAUAAAGUAUGUCGUAGUCCGGAUUGGAGUCUGCAACUCGACUCCAUGAAGUCGGAAUCGCUAGUAAUCGUAGAUCAGAAUGCUACGGUGAAUACGUUCCCGGGCCUUGUACACACCGCCCGUCACACCAUGGGAGUGGGUUGCAAAAGAAG